UCUAAAAUGUCGAAUACAAGUUCGAUUAUAUGCACACCUCUUGUUUACUUUUCUGGUUUUCGUGAGUCUUUACCGAAACAAUGACUAGGUAGCACACUAGUGAAGCAAAGUUGCACUACAUUACGGGUCUCCAACCGACAACGCUGAUAUUGGAGCACCCCCUCCCCCUUCCACUCCAAGCACACCGCUUAAGGAAAACAUUAUUUGCAUGCCCUGUGUUGAACCAAUCUUAUGAGGGGGGAAAGCAAACAUUCUUGUACUUACUCGGUCGAUAGACGGUGGAUCCGACCCUUCGUUGCAGUAGUGGGGUCGUCGCCUGGCCUGUCCCGCCUCUCGCCGGCCGUCUGAGUGCCGGGGAAAGGAAGGGAAGAAGGGGGUUGGUCCGUGUGGUACGUGCGUCUACGUGUGUCUGUUUGCUGGAGCUAUGCCGGGCUGACAGCUGGCCGCGAAGCCCUCGUAGCGACAUAAGAGAAAACAUGCACAUAUGAACCAGCCCUAACUAUCUCUGCUGAUCACAUCACAGUGUACCGGAACAGUAUUCCAGCCCUGAAUCUUAUACCGGAACUGCGUUCCGGCCCUGAAUCUGAUACCGGAACUGCGUUCCUGACCGUUCUGGCCCACUUUCACCCCUGGCUCUCCAUCCAAUUUGUAUAUCGUUUCUCCUCAUCAGGAUUGCAGGUAAAGUGGAGCCUAUCCAAAACACGUCAGGUUGGUCGACAGCCAAUUGCAGGGCACUUUUAGUCAAAUGAAUUAUUCAAUGUCAGCAAUUGUGAUGAGCAUUAUUUGUGUCCUUCAAUCAAAUAAAAAUAUUUCUUAAUAGAUGUAACUACCAUUAUUUUGAGUAAACCGUUUAACAAAUCUAUUCCCACAACCAUGCUGUAUGUAAUUUGACCGAAACUGUAGAUAGAAUUAAAGACUUAAAUGUGCAUAGAAUAUUUUGCUUGCCCUUUCAUUCACCCCGCAUUGUAUGAUGAGAUGGAGAUCAAAUACAACUGGCUUUAGUGUGUCUCUGUGUGUGUGCUGGAAAGAGAGCGAGAGAAGGAGAGAGAGCAGAUUAGUGUCGACUGUCUGCACCCUCCCCGCCAGACAUGCAGUCAGCAGGGAUUUUCUGGUCUGAGCACUGCACUCACAAAGAAGGAGAGGAAACCAAUCCUAGUCACAAUCUCAUCCCAGACACAAUUCAAAUGUUUCUGUGGCAGCAUCAUAACACCCGCUAACACUUGACUCGUCGGAUAGUGAUGUUAAGUUUCAAUAUUAUAGGGUAAUAAUAAAAUAUGUAUUAUGAUAAAAAUGCAUCAGGUCACAUUGCUAGUUAUUGAAGGGGAACGUGCAGCAAAACACUCCAAGAAGUUAAUUGGGUCAUUAUAUUUGGAAUUUCCAUAUUCAUAAAUGCAGGACAUGAAAUAGAUGUUUAUCAUAGAAACCAUAAAGACUAAUGAACUAAUCGUAAUCCUCUGGGAUUUGCUGGCAAUAGACUUGUUCCCUGCCAGCCAUUAAUGGGUGUUUUUCAUGUAAAUUUCCCUCAUUUUUUACAAACUACCACAACACAUACGCUAUGAAGACUAUACUGUACAUAUACCGAGGCUGGCAUUGGUAUUAGCUAUUUUUUAUUAUUAUUUAAUCAUCUUGAUCAAUUCAGAUUUAGCUGAGGACAUCUCAAGACAAGAAUUGAAGAUCACCUAAUACCCAAAGAAACUAACCUUGUCCCCUCAACGUCUCGUCAAUUCUUAGAUAUUCUAUCUCGAUGUUGCAUAUGGAUCAUAUUCCAUAUCAAUUCUUACAUUGAUCAUAGACUUGAUAAUGAUAUUGACGGGUCAGAUUCGACCUUUACUGGGCCACACCUUCACCUUCCCACAAUCCGCUUCAGUUAUUCGCAGUUGGUGGCAGCAAUACAUGCAGCGAUCCAACGCCGGAUGUAUGUUGAAAUAGUAUGAAAGCUGUACCGCAUUCAAACAGGAAGGAUUGUCUCAGGAGUGAUUUGUUCGAUGAUUCAAGGUAAUUAUUAUAUUUUUCGUUUUUUCACACUUCUCACUUUUUGUUGUAAGGCUGCUGCCACAUUGUCUAACAGACUAGCAUCAUUCUUCGACAUAUUUAUUUAAAAUAAAUGCUAAAUGCACUUUUUUUUUUUUGCUUUUAACCAAGAAUCGAGACUAUUUUACAUCCAUAUCUAUAAAGAAAUUAGGGAUUUCAACAUUUAUUCACAAGAAUUUUCACUGGAAAAGCUGUUUACAUAUAGCGGCCGCCACAUUGACUGACAGACUAGCAUCGUACUUCGUCAUAUUUACGUAAAAUAAAUGCUAACUGCACUUUUUUUUUUUUUUUUUUUGCUUCUAACCAAAAAUCGAGACUGUUUCACGUUCAUAUCGAUAAAGAAUUCAGGUAUUUAAGUAUUUAUUCACAAGAAUUUCCACCGGAAAAGCUCUGUUUACAUAUAGAGGCCGCCACAUUGACUGACAGACUAGCAACGUACUUCGACAUAUUUACGCAAAAUAAAUGCUAACUGCACUUUUUUUUUUUUUUUUUUUUGCUUCUAACCAAAAAUCGAGACUGUUUUAUGUCCAUAUCGAUAAAGAAUUCAAGUAUUUAAGUAUUUAUUCACAAGAAUUUCUAUCGUAAAACCUCUGUUUACAUAUGGCGGCCGCUACAUUAACUAACAGACUAGCAUCGUACUUCGACAUAUUUACAUAAAUUAA